CAGGGACGAUAAUGACGGUACCUGAGGAGGAAGCCACGGCUAACUACAUGCCAGCAGCCGCGGUAAUAGGUAGGUGGCAAGCGUUGUCCGGAUUUACUGGGCGUAAAGGGAGCGUAGGCGGAUACUUAAGUGGGAUGUGAAAUACCCGGGCUCAACUCGGGUGCUGCAUUCCAAACUGGGUGUCUAGAGUGCAGGAGAGGAAAGUGGAAUUCCUAGUGUAGCGGUGAAAUGCGUAGAGAUUAGGAAGAACACCAGUGGCGAAGGCGACUUUCUGGACUGUAACAGACGCUGAGGCUCGAAAGCGUGGGGAGCAAACAGGAUUAGAUACCCUGGUAGUC
rnacentral:rRNA from 1 species